UUCUCAUCGUUCUACGCGUAAAGCCUUUGUAUCGUUAAAUGGCAGCCUAUGGGACAAAUUUGGAAAGCAAGGCAGUUAUAUUUAGGAGAAAUUCACAUGUCACUGGUUAUAUUAUCAUGGACUCAUUGCUUUCUUUCGGACUUAGACGAAGUAUCUUGGUUUAUCUGACAUGGUUGUAGGUGUUCUUGUGUCUACCUAUAUCCUUAUGGAGACUGGUGAGAUGACAAUUCUGAAAAGAUUGAGAAAGUAAAGAAAGCUUUUAUUCUCUUAUAUUCUUUUUUUUUUUUUUUUUUUUAGAAUAUUUCAAACUGCUGUCACUGUUGGCAAAGUAAAGAUUCCUCUUCUCUUAUCAACAGAUAAUUAAUACAGUCUGGUCUAUUUCAUGUUUGGAAAAAUGUAGGUCUUGGACUCAAAGUUCCUGGUUUGACAAGGGCUAUGGGAGAAAAAAAAAGAAGCAAAAUGGGAAAUCAGUAAGACAGUGAGACAGAAUCAUGAAAGGGGCUACUCAAAAUCUUAGCCUAUUUAACCCUUUUGCAGAUAGCUUCCAAAUACUUCCAAUACAGUAAGCUCAGUUAUAGCUACUGGGUUUGUCCUUGCAAACCAGCCCUGAGCUACGUUUAACUUGAGAGUUAAUUUGCCGUCUCGAUAAUGACAGGCAAAUUGUCAACAUUUUGUAUGUCUUAUAUGCAUCUUUGGUUGGAACGCUUUGACUGCUCCGAAUAGUGCAAUGGACCAAAAAUUGUGAUUAAUUAAGUAACUCAAGGACUUGGAUCUUCAGUUGUCUGUUUACUGGAGAUUAAAAAAAAUAUAAUCCCGAGAACAGUAUGAUUUAAACCCCUCAUAAGUCCCUUUCGCUCCUGAGAAACGGUAUGGUUGAUCCCAUGUUCAUACAAACUCCUCUGUCUCUUACCUCUGUUAAAAAUUUCAAGCACUGCGUCUAAACUUCGUGGGUUUCCUCUGACCCAUGACAAGUAUGAGGAUCUUUAAUCCUGCUAUUGCAUGAAAAGGAAUUUUGACCCUCGUUCAGUCACUCUCUGGAGAAUUGAUGACAAAAGCGUAGUAUGACUCUCUUUAGUUCAGAAUUGGAGUCUGUGGAAGGGAACUUUUGGUGGGUGAUCUCUUAAGAACUCGACAUGAACUCCUACUCAGCGCUGCUUCUCCCAGCCAUCGGCCAGAACCACGGGGAGAGUGAGGUUGGCAUAGAUGCUUUCAGAACAAAUUACAUCACGUUUCUGAGUUGCCUGACUUCAUUUCAUGUUAAAUUAUAUUUUAAGGCUUGUUGAACUUCUGAGCUCACUUUCCACAUGUGUUUGAGAAGACGCUGACAGACGUCCUCCUCUAUGUAAAUUUGGUGUAACUGGCUCCACUUUCAGAAUGUCUUAUUUCUGUUGAUUGUCUUGGCCUCUGUCAACCUUGAAGCAAGUUCAGUACGACCUUACAUUCCAACUACUGUCCUUCUUUUCCCUCUCACUCUAUAAGUCAUUGGAAGGUGCAGAUUUUAUCAAAAUAGAGAGACAUCAUACAGCUUUCAAAUUUCAUUCCAAAAAAUCGUGCUUAGACAUCUCUUCUCAAAUACUCUCCUCUAUCUCUCAAAACGUCCCUCACCGAAGCCAAUUUGUGUGUGAGAGGAGCUGUCGUAGUAAAAAUAAUAAACUUUAUUUUUCCAAGUGAAAAUAAAUGUUAUUGAUCAUAUUAUGCUCAUUUAUUGUUUUAUUUGGCUUGAAUGGACAAUUCCUCCUGUUCUCCAGCUACUGUCAGGAGGAGUGCCUUACCAUGGAUGAAUCAAUCUGGAAUUAACAUCAUGGUAUUUGAUAACGUUCCCUAAAAUAAGUCAUUUCAUUUGGUUACUUGUGGACACAUUGUGCAAAUAAUCAAUCCUAGCAGCUGCCCCAAUAUUCUUGUUCAAACAGUGUUUUAUGUAAUUUCAUUAAUGAGAAUUUUCUAUGGUCAUUUUAAGCAACUGUUAAACCUUUUGAAAACGUUCCGAGUGAAACCAUUUCAGCCAAAGCUUCUUAAACCAUCUGUGAUAAAGAACUGUUUUGUUGUUGUUCUUAUUGUUUAUUUGUUUAAUUUUCAUGCAGUCACAUUCCCAUACUUUUGUAGAAUGCGCUGACCGUGUGCUUGGAUGGCAUGACAAUAUCAGAUUGUGAUAUAAGUCCCUUAGUGUUUAUUACCAGUUUCUGGACUUAUAUCACUGUGGACUGAGAGCAAUAGCAGACGGCCAUGCAUCCACGGGGCAAUUUGAAUGGCACUGAUAGAGGCUAUUGUCUGUGGUGCAGAACUUUGGGGUUUGAUCAAUAGGUUGUUCUUUUAUUAUAGCAAAAUUGUAAUAUGUAUUCAGGAAAGACUCAUUUUUCCCUAAAGGAAAACUUUUAGCCCUGCUUUCUAGAAGUAGGAUAUUCAUCUAUCGAGGAUGGAAUUAUGGAUUUGUAAAAAAUUGUCAACACUGCCAUUUACUAAUUAGGCUGCCGUUUGAUAUACAACAGAAUACUGGGCUUAUAAUCCAGUGCCUUGCCAGAGAAUAUAACCUUGGAAUCCAACUCCUCUUAAAAGUUUAUAUGGAAGAAAGGAUUAUAUCCUCUAGAUCUCUUUUCGAUAUUCUAGGCUGUGGUUUAAGUUUUAUUUGCGUAUUUGGUUUUAACUUGGAUUGAGUCGAAGCAGUGACCAUCUGAGUUUGUGAAUCACGGCGCCUUGACUUCUGGUAGAAUCAUUUAACUGAGGUAAUUAUAAAUCAUGCCCUUGGCUUUUAUUUAGAGAUGACAUAAAAAAAUACCAAACUCAAAUAUUCCAUUCUCCUCAGGUAUUUUGGGGGACAUUUUCCAUUUAGUACUUCAUAUUUGAAAAUUCAUGUGAAUAAUCAAGUUUAUUUCAUUUUUAUAGAGAAGUCCCUCUUUGCAAGUUAUUUUUUUGAAUGCAGUGAACCUCACCUAUGAACAAGAAUGAAUUGUUGAUCUGGUCCAGGCUCAGAUGUUACUGGAGCAAAUCCACAGAAGCUUCACCCUAGGUAGGGGUGGCCAAGAAGAUGAGGCUUCCUCUCUUCUCGGUUUCCAGUCAAAGCUUACGUUAUCCCAUUGAGACAGAAAGUUACCAGCAUUGCUCAUUUCCUCCAGCUUCAAGUCGAAGAGGCUAUAUUGCUGAAAUUACUAAAAGAAUGAAGAUAUAUUUUCCACUUUCAAAAUGAGCAGAAGAGAAAGAAAACAAUCUAAGGAAUCUUUGGAGACUACCAAAGACUGAUGUCAAGAAAAGGGUUCGGUAACUUAGGAGGUGGGACAGGGUUGUUUGUACCUCUGCUCUCAGCUCCGCUUCUCAUCUUCUGUGCUCCGCUCUGUAUCACAGAGGGCUGGAUGCCCGAAAGGUACCUUCCUGAGACUUCCUUGACUGCUGGCUUCUGUUAGACUCUGACACCGUGGCAGGUGAGUAGAAGUUGGGAGGAAGGAAACUAGGCCAAAACUCACACCUUUUUUAGGUGGGGAGGGCAGAGCGUUUAGCAUAGGCUUCAGCUGCAGUUGCAGAGGGUGACAGUGAGCCCCUGGGCUCUUCCUCAGGCAGCCUGCUUCCAGCAGCUUGUACAGGUUUCUGGGGGCAUCGCAAAGCAGCAGUAGCUGCAGGGGCUUUAGCGGCCCUGGCUAACGUGCCCUGACUCCGUCUGUUUCAGUGACAGAUGCAAGGAACUCUGGGCCCCAGGUUUCCCACCCUAGCAACAGGAGAAUGGGCCAUGGUUUCCGCGAGGCAGCUUCCUCACUGCUUCCAGAUAGUAGAGGCCACAGUGGGGCCCAGCAGCUCCACAGGGCAGUGACUGUCUUACUGAGGACACCCUUUCCCUUCUGCUUGGGUAGCCUAAGAUGGCACUGGCUUACUGCAGAUACUAAUCACUUGGGAACCUUUUCGUUUCCCUUUUAAACCUUUUGUCACUUAUUCCCUGUAUUAAAUUUCCUCCAGUUGAAAUACCAGUCGAAGUUUCUAUUUUCCUGACUGGACAGUGAUACUGAAUACACGAUGGCACUACAGUACUGCAGAAAUCAAGCCAGUUUUUCCUUUGUCUUUUCUUCCACUCUUACAGUUUAAUUUACCAUUAGGUAUUUUAAAAUUUACAUAUGUAGAAUAAAUCUCAUUGAUUUAA